UUGUGUGUGUGUUUAGUCCAGUUUAUCACCAGGAGGAACACAGACAGAGAACAUUUACACCUUCGGGACAUUUCUGGGGUCUAAUCUGCGCAGCAUGUUUCUGGAUGUUGCUGACUGACUGAUGUUGCUGACUGAUGUUGCUGACUGACUGAUGUUGCUGACUGAUGUUGCUGACUGAUUUGCAGCGUAUGUGAACCAAAGGAUGACUUUCUCACUAGAAAUAGUAAAGAAAAC